rnacentral:rRNA from 1 species
CAGCAGCCGCGGUAAUACCGGCGGCCCGAGUGGCGGUCACUAUUAUUGGGCUUAAAGCGUCCGUAGCCGGGUUGGGAAGUCCUCCGGGAAAUCUGGCCGCUUAACGGUCAGAAUGCCGGAGGAAACUCCCAGCCUAGGGAGCGGGAGAGGCCGAGGGUAUUCCCGGAGUAGGGGUGAAAUCCUAUAAUCCCGGGAGGACCACCUGUGGCGAAGGCGCUCGGCUGGAACGCGUCCGACGGUGAGGGACGAAGGCCAGGGGAGCAAACCGGAUUAGAUACCCGGGUAGUCCUGGCUGUAAACGAUGCGGACUUUGUGUCGGACAAGCUAUGAGCUUGUCCGGUGCCGGAGGGAAACCGUUAAGUCCGCCGCCUGGGGAGUACGGCCGCAAGGCUGAAACUUAAAGGAAUUGGCGGG